AGAUGGCAACAUUUGCUGAUAUCUACGGGAAGACUCGCAUGGUGGUUAAAACCAACUCGAACUAUAAAAUGUGACUUUAAUUAUUUUUUUAUAUAUAUGUUCAAAUGCAAACAUUUGCUUUUUAAGUUGGGGGAAUGUAGCGGAAUCGGUUUUUAUAUAUUAAGAAUUAUAUGUAGGAUGGCUGAUUUCAAUUUACAAUUCAUUUUCAUUGUUAUUAUUUU
rnacentral:lncRNA from 1 species